rnacentral:misc_RNA from 1 species
GACAGUCGAAACGAUAAUAAUUGUCCUGGAAUUGCGCUAAUAACAGCAACAGGGAUAAUUGCUGGCCGGCGACAGAGCAGAUACGCGCUGGGCGGCCAAAGCGGCAGCAACAGUCGGUGGCAUGUUAGUCGGCAGCAGCAAUUAGCCUUUCGCUGGCAAGGGCACACACACACGCGCAGGAUACAAACAGGACAUACAGGACACACUGGGCCGAUGCAUUCACGGCCAUAAUGAUCAGCUCCAAACUGUUGACCCGCAAACACACAAAGUGCGUGAUGGAAAUCGCACUCCGGCAGCAAAAAUAAAGGAUUUUGAGCGGCGUAGAGCACACUCGACCAAAGUGUCCUUUUCAGUCCUUUUCAUCCUGGCAACAAGCCUGGGAG